GUGGUACUCCUCGUCUUAAAUUUUUUGUCUUAGAUUUGUCCAGAUAUGAAUGUAUCUAGUCACGUUUUAGUAUUUUGAUACAUUCAUUUGUCAACAAACCUAAGGCAAGAAUUUUGGGACGGAGAAUGUACAAA
rnacentral:pre_miRNA from 1 species